GAUGAACGCUGGCGGCGUGCCUAAUACAUGCAAGUCGAGCGAACAGAUAAGGAGCUUGCUCCUUUGACGUUAGCGGCGGACGGGUGAGUAACACGUGGAUAACCUACCUAUAAGACUGGGAUAACUUCGGGAAACCGGAGCUAAUACCGGAUAAGAUUUUGAACCGCAUGGUUCAAUAGUGAAAGACGGCCUUGCUGUCACUUAUAGAUGGAUCCGCGCCGUAUUAGCUAGUUGGUAAGGUAACGGCUUACCAAGGCAACGAUACGUAGCCGACCUGAGAGGGUGAUCGGCCACACUGGAACUGAGACACGGUCCAGACUCCUACGGGAGGCAGCAGUAGGGAAUCUUCCGCAAUGGGCGAAAGCCUGACGGAGCAACGCCGCGUGAGUGAUGAAGGUCUUCGGAUCGUAAAACUCUGUUAUCAGGGAAGAACAAACGUGUAAGUAACUGUGCACGUCUUGACGGUACCUGAUCAGAAAGCCACGGCUAACUACGUGCCAGCAGCCGCGGUAAUACGUAGGUGGCAAGCGUUAUCCGGAAUUAUUGGGCGUAAAGCGCGCGUAGGCGGUUUUUUAAGUCUGAUGUGAAAGCCCACGGCUCAACCGUGGAGGGUCAUUGGAAACUGGAAAACUUGAGUGCAGAAGAGGAAAGUGGAAUUCCAUGUGUAGCGGUGAAAUGCGCAGAGAUAUGGAGGAACACCAGUGGCGAAAGCGACUUUCUGGUCUGUAACUGACGCUGAUGUGCGAAAGCGUGGGGAUCAAACA
rnacentral:rRNA from 1 species